UACGAAGGGUGCAAGCGUUAAUCGGAAUUACUGGGCGUGAAGGGUGCGUAGGCGGUUGUUUAAGUCUGUCGUGAAAUCCCCGGGCUCAACCUGGGAAUGGCGAUGGAUACUGGGCAGCUAGAGUGUGUCAGAGGAUGGUGGAAUUCCCGGUGUAGCGGUGAAAUGCGUAGAGAUCGGGAGGAACAUCAGUGGCGAAGGCGGCCAUCUGGGACAACACUGACGCUGAAGCACGAAAGCGUGGGGAGCAAACAGG
rnacentral:rRNA from 1 species